GACGAACGCUGGCGGCGUGCUUAACACAUGCAAGUCGAACGGAAAGGCCCUGCUUUUGUGGGGUGCUCGAGUGGCGAACGGGUGAGUAACACGUGAGUAACCUGCCCUUGACUUUGGGAUAACUUCAGGAAACUGGGGCUAAUACCGGAUAGGAGCUCCUGCUGCAUGGUGGGGGUUGGAAAGUUUCGGCGGGUGGGGAUGGACGCGCGGCUUAUCAGCUUGUUGGUGGGGUAGUGGCUUACCAAGGCUUUGACGGGUAGCCGGCCUGAGAGGGUGACCGGCCACAUUGGGACUGAGAUACGGACCAGACUCCUACGGGAGGCAGCAGUGGGGAAUAUUGCACAAUGGGCGGAAGCCUGAUGCAGCAACGCCGCGUGCGGGAUGACGGCCUUCGGGUUGUAAACCGCUUUCGCCUGUGACGAAGCGUGAGUGACGGUAAUGGGUAAAGAAGCACCGGCUAACUACGUG
rnacentral:rRNA from 1 species